GAACGCUUUCAGCUUGCUGAAGCAAGUAAAGUGGCGCACGGGUGAGUAUCGCGUGGGUAAUCUACCCUUGAAUCGGANAUAACUCCGCGAAAGCGGGGCUAAUACCGGAUAAUAUUUUUUAUGCUCAGGCUGUAAAAAUCAAAGGUGGCCUCUUCAUGAAAGCUACCGUUAAAGGAUGAGCCCGCGUACCAUUAGCUUGUUGGUGGGGUAAUGGCCCACCAAGGCCGCGAUGGUUAGCUGGUCUGAGAGGAUGAUCAGCCACACUGGAACUGACACACGGUCCAGACUCCUACGGGAGGCAGCAGUGAGGAAUUUUGCGCAAUGGGGGAAACCCUGACGCAGCAGCGCCGCGUGAGUGAUGAAGGCUUUCGGGUCGUAAAGCUCUGUCAAGUGGGAAGAAACUGAUCCGUAUUAAUACUACGGUUCACUGACGGUACCACUGAAGGAAGCACCGGCUAACUCCGUGCCAGCAGCCGCGGUAAUACGGAUGGUGCGAGCGUUAUUCGGGAAUUACUG
rnacentral:rRNA from 1 species